rnacentral:rRNA from 1 species
UACGUAGGUGGCAAGCGUUUGUCCGGAAUUAUUGGGCGUAAAGCGCGCGCAGGCGGUCCUUUAAGUUCUGAUGUGAAAGCCCACGGCUCAACCGUGGAGGGUCAUUGGAAACUGGGGGACUUGAGAUGCAGAAGGAAGGAAAGCGGAAUUCCACGUGUAGCGGUGAAAUGCGUAGAGAUGUGGAGGAACACCAGUGGCGAAGGCGGCUUUCUGGUCGUG